GCCCGAGCAGCUCAGUUGGUAGACCAUCAGACUCUUAAUCUCACUGUCAUGAAUUUGAGCCCCAUGUUGGGCG